GAUGAACGCUGGCGGCGUGCCUAACACAUGCAAGUCGAGCGAGAUUUAUGUGAGUGGAGACUUCGGUCAAAGCGAACAUAAUGAAAGCGGCGGACGGGUGAGUAACGCGUGAGCAAUCUGCCCCAUACAAAGGGAUACCCACUGGAAACGGUGAUUAAUACCUUAUAAGACCACAGAGUCGCAUGGCUUAGGGGUCAAAGAUUUAUCGGUAUGGGAUGAGCUCGCGUCUGAUUAGCUAGUUGGUGAGGUAAUGGCUCACCAAGGCGACGAUCAGUAGCCGACCUGAAAGGGUGAACGGCCACACUGGAACUGAGACACGGUCCAGACUCCUACGGGAGGCAGCAGUGGGGAAUAUUGCACAAUGGGCGCAAGCCUGAUGCAGCAACGCCGCGUGAAUGAUGAAGGCCUUCGGGUCGUAAAGUUCUGUCCAAAGGGAAGAAUACAGUGACGGUACCUUUGGAGGAAGCCCCGGCUAACUACGUGCCAGCCGCCGCUGUAACAC
rnacentral:rRNA from 1 species